GGUGCAUUUUUUAAAGUUUGUAUUUUAUUAAAAAUGCAUAAUUUAGUGACAUUUCGUGACCUCACAUAGGUAACUCGUGUUUUAAGGUUAUGAUCUACACCAGUACACCUAUAAGAAAGGUGGAUCAUGUCAUAUGUUUUGCUGGGAGAAUUUUGACAUUGUUUAUUAAAAAAUUAAUUUUUGUAUGCAAAUUAAUUAAUUAUAAUUAUUUCCUUAAUAAAUAUAGCAAAUAAACCUUAAGAAAUAUUUUUUUAAUAUUUAUUUUUAGAAGAUUGGUUCUUCUAAACAAGGCAUGAGAUGAUUCAAAUAAAAUCUUCUAAUGAUAUAAACCGGGUAUAAUCACAGUCGUAUCUAAUUUUCUAUAAUCACAGUUAUUUUGUCAUCACUAUUAUCGUCAUCGUCGCCUACUGAUGAUGGUUAUCAUCGAAGCAAUUUCAUGGAGUAUGCUUUAAAGAAAAAACCUUAAACUACAAGAACGAAAUAUUGAUUACUACAGGAUUCUCGUUAAAGACAGAGUAAACCAUUCUCUAUAUCAAGACUUCAUUAUAUAUGUAAAGGAUGGAUCAACAUGGAUCAACAAAAGGAUCAUCAAUUGUUCACGAUGUCAAAAGGCCACUACUAAAGUACAUUUAAAACAUAUCUAAAUGGAAAAAGUCUUUUUUGUAGCACUUCUUCUAGAUAUGCUUAAAAUGAAAAAGUAUUACUAAAAGAGCGGUAUGUUAA